rnacentral:lncRNA from 1 species
GCCAGGAAGGGGGUCGGGCGGGAGGGGAGGAGACCGCGGAGCAGCCAAUCGGCGCUCAGCCCAUCAGCUGACCGCUUUUGCUUACACCAGGUGCACGCCGGCUGCGGGGAGCACAAAGCGGGGCGCACCGAGGGCGCCGGCACCUAGCCGGGGAGCUAGGCGAGGCCCGUGCGCCAGCGUCCGCAGCGCCCUCCGAUUGGGGAGAGGGGCUGGUGGUGUUAGCCCAGGCGGCGGAAUCCGCGCGGUGGCAUCCCUAGUUGCCCCGUGUGCCUUUCUCGGGACCUGGCCGCUCUCUGCCUCGCCCUCUGCGCCCCACUUCUCCAGUCCUCCUUCCCAAUCCUGCCUGCCUCUGCCCCGACCCCGGAGAGUCGGAUUGAGCCCAGGCCCGCGCAGCAGCUGUUGCUCGUGUCGUUGCCUCUCCUCCUGUCUUGGUGCUCUGCUGGGAACCCCCCAAGGAGCCGCUGCGCGCUGCGGGCUGGGAGGGAGGCGCCGCUCAGCCGGUCGUCCUCCUCCUGCCGCUGCCGCGGGUCCGUGCGCACCCCAUACCCCCGCCAGCCGGGCCUCGGGGCACAUCUCCAGACUUUGAUUUGGCUGAAGUAACUUAUACCACAGAGCUGUGGGCAUGCCUGGAAUUGAGAGACACAGUUAAAAGACUCCCACUUGCUUCCUGCCUUUUUGAAAACUACUGAAAACCAUCCCUUCAGACUCCAGAGUUUUACACAUCUCAACCAAGACUUUGCUUGAAUGUUUACAUUUUCUGCUUGUUGUCCUACAUACCACGAUCUAGUGUUCACCUUUUGUUAAAACAGGUGUGUCAGGAGUUG